AGGAGGGAGGGAGGGAAGGAGACGCGGCCGGGCGGGGGCGCGCGUCCUCUGGGCCAACGCCGCGGAGCCGCCCGGCCCUGCCGAGCUCCGGGCCCCAGGCCAGCACCUCCUGGCUGAGGAGUGCCCGGAAGCAAUCCUAUAGGUGUCGCCGCGUCGCCCCGCCGCGCAGCAGGGCAGCGCCAAAGCCGCUGGCCCGCGGGGAGGGAAGGAAAGGGAGAAAGCAGUAACUCAUAAUCAGAAGAGAAUUUAUCAUGAAGUUAAUUAAGCUGUGUACCUAAUUUUGUAUCUGUCAUCGUGUAUUCUUAAAAGAAGACUCCGACAUUGUAUAAGUUCUGGAUCUGAACAAAACCUGGAUAAACUCUGGUGCUUUAUUAACUUGAUGAAGAUUAGUGACACUGAGGAAUACUGAGGAACCAGGCUCUAUUCCACCCCAUCCCCUUCAUACACACCUCAUUCCAAAUGCUAUCCUGUCACAGCAGAUGCCACAUCACUUUUGGGGUGGGCUAAGAGAUCAAGAAUUGCCAUAAUAUUGAUUUGAAAAAGGAGACCUGAGCACAUAAGUGAUCAAAAACAUAUGAGAUGAAUGAGUAAAUGAACGGAGCUUGCAUUUGAGAGGCUGAACACAUUGGCAGUGACAUGAAGCACAUGAGAAUGACAGCACUAAACGCAGCGCGCAACCUGGGAAAGAGGCUGAAAAAAUACCUACUCAGCCACGACACUCCCUGUAGGGCAAGCUUAUCUGUGUGCUUACUUGGAAGCUCUUGCUUACUUAGAAGCUCCAGAGCCAGACGUCUCUUCGACCAGGAGACUGCCUCGAGAGAUAACAAAUUAUAACCUAAAGUAUGCCCAUGAUGAAACUCACUCCCACUUGGAGAGUAUCUCAAGACUCUGGCCACCUUACCACCUAGUUCUGCCCGCGAGGGCACCAGCUCAACCACCUGGUAGAUAAAGCACCAAAGCAAGUCAUUGAGACCCCCACUGGCUCACCCCCUCCCCUGCAUGCCAUUCAUGUCAAGUCCCCCUUUGAAAACCCUUGCUUUUUUGCCCCAAAAGUGAAGCAGUACCCUUAAAGGCAGAAGCCUGUACUUCUCCCCCUCAACAAAGCUUUGGAAUAAAAGUUACAAGAUCA
rnacentral:lncRNA from 1 species